rnacentral:rRNA from 1 species
UACAGGGGGUGCAAACGUUGCUCGGAAUUAUUGGGCGUAAAGCGCGCGUAGGCGGCUACUUAAGUCGGAUGUGAAAGCCCUUGGCUCAACUGAGGAAGUGCACCCGAAACUGAGUGGCUAGAGUACGAAAGAGGGUCGCGGAAUUCCCGGUGUAGUGGUGGAAUGCGUAGAUAUCGGGAGGAACACCAGUGGCGAAGGCGGGUCUCUGGGCAGUAACUGACGCUGAGAAGCGAAAGCGUGGGGAGCGAACAGG